rnacentral:misc_RNA from 1 species
GCUACUGCCGCAGUUUACUCUGCUGCUAUUCUGGAGUACUUAACAGCUGAGGUUCUGGAACUGGCUGGGAACGCUAGCAAGGAUCUGAAGGUCAAGCGUAUCACCCCUCGCCAUCUGCAGCUUGCCAUCCGUGGAGAUGAGGAGCUCGACACUCUCAUCAAGGGUACCAUCGCUGGUGGAGGUGUCAUUCCUCACAUCCACAAGUCCCUGAUCA